rnacentral:rRNA from 1 species
AGGGUUUGAUCCUGGCUCAGAGUGAACGCUGGCGGCGUGGAUUAGGCAUGCAAGUCGAGCGAUCUUUUCCAAUGAAGUAAAUUGAAAGUUUCGGCUGGAUAUUUGCGGAUUUGAUUGAGAUAGCGGCAAACCGGCGAGUAACGCGUGGGUAACAUACCUUGAGGAAGGGCAUAGCUCACCGAAAGGUGGGGUAAUACCCUAUACCCCUUUAAACUUGAAAUAGUUUUUAGGUAAAGAUGGCCUCUACUUGUAAGCUAUCACCUUAAGAGUGGCCCGCGUCCUAUCAGGUUGUUGGUGGGGUAAAGGCCUACCAAGCCAAAGACGGGUAGCUGGCCUGAGAGGGUGGUUAGCCACAUCGGAACUGAGACACUGUCCGGACUCCUACGGGAGGCUGCAGUCGAGAAUAUUUCUCAAUGGGCGAAAGCCUGAAGAUGCGACGCCGCGUGGAGGAUGAAGGUUUUCGGAUUGUAAACUCCUUUUAUUAGGGAGGAACGCUUUAGUAGUGAAUAAUUAUUAGAGUUUGACUGUACCUGAUGAAUAAGCCACGGCUAACUCCGUGCCAGCAACCGCGGUAAUGCGGAGGUGGCAAGCGUUACUCGGUUUGACUGGGUGUAAAGGGUCCGUAGGCGGUCAGAUAAGUGAAAGGUGAAAUCUCUCGGCUCAACCGGGAAACUGCCUUUCAAACUGUUUGACUUGAGGCUGAGAGAGGAAAUUAGAACUGCCAGUGUAAGGGUGAAAUCUGUGGAUAUUGGCAGGAAUGCCCGUGGGGUAGCCGGCUUUCCAGUUCAGACCUGACGCUCAGGGACGAAAGCUAGGGGAGCAAACAGGAUUAGAUACCCUGGUAGUCCUAGCUGUAAACGAUGGGCACUAGGUGUCUGCUCUUUAAGAGUGGGUGCCGGAGGUAACCCGGUAAGUGCCCCACCUGGGGACUACGGCCGCAAGGCUAAAACUCAAAGGAAUUGACGGGGGCCCGCACAAGCGGUGGAACACGUGGUUUAAUUCGAUGCUACGCGAGGAACCUUACCAGGGCUUGACAUGUAGGAAGUAGUAUCCCGAAAGGGAGUCCGACCGGUAACCAGUCCGGAACUUACACAGGUGCUGCAUGGUUGUCGUCAGCUCGUGCCGUGAGGUGUUCCCUUAAGUGGGAGAACGAGCGCAACCCUCGCUCUAUGUUGCUACUUUAGCGUAAAGCUAAAGGCACUCUUAGAGGACUGCCCGCGUUAAGUGGGAGGAAGGUGGGGACGACGUCAAAUCCGCAUGGCCCUUAUGUCCUGGGCUACACACGUGUUACAAUGCCUACUACAAUGGGACGCCAAACCGUAAGGUGGAGCAAAUCCUAUAAAAGUAGGCUCAGUUCGGAUCGAAGGCUGCAAUUCGCCUUCGUGAAGCUGGAAUCGCUAGUAAUGGCGCAUCAGCUACGGCGCCGUGAAUACGUUCCCGGGCCUUGUACACACCGCCCGUCAAGCGCUGAAAAUAGGAGGCGCCUGAAGUCCGUUUUAUAGCGGAUCACGGUGAAUUUUGUGAUUGGCGCUAAGUCGUAACAAGGUA